rnacentral:rRNA from 1 species
GACGAACGCUGGCGGCGUGCCUAAUACAUGCAAGUCGAGCGAAUCUUUGGGAGCUUGCUCCCAAAGAUUAGCGGCGGACGGGUGAGUAACACGUGGGCAACCUGCCUAUAAGACUGGGAUAACUUCGGGAAACCGGAGCUAAUACCGGAUAAUCCUUUUCCUCUCAUGAGGGGAAGCUGAAAGACGGUUUCGGCUGUCACUUAUAGAUGGGCCCGCGGCGCAUUAGCUAGUUGGGAGGUAACGGCUCACCAAGGCGACGAUGCGUAGCCGACCUGAGAGGGUGAUCGGCCACACUGGGACUGAGACACGGCCCAGACUCCUACGGGAGGCAGCAGUAGGGAAUCUUCCGCAAUGGACGAAAGUCUGACGGAGCAACGCCGCGUGAACGAUGAAGGCUUUCGGGU